rnacentral:tRNA from 1 species
GUUUUGAUAGUUUAAAUAAGAAUACAGCUUUGAAGCUGCUGUGGUGGUUUUAUUCCUCAAAAUA